rnacentral:rRNA from 1 species
UACGGAGGGUGCAAGCGUUGUCCGGAUUUAUUGGGUUUAAAGGGUGCGUAGGCGGCUGAUUAAGUCAGCGGUGAAAGACUUCGGCUCAACCGGAGCAGUGCCGUUGAUACUGGUUAGCUUGAGUAUUGGAGGGGUACAUGGAAUUGAUGGUGUAGCGGUGAAAUGCAUAGAUACCAUCAGGAACACCGAUAGCGAAGGCAUUGUACUGGCCAAUAACUGACGCUGAUGCACGAAAGCAUGGGUAGCGAACAGG